ACAACACCACUUUCACCCAAAGAGUUGCAAAUGUAAUUUGAUAUCAAUUGGUACCAAUUACGGGGACUCCCACUACACAGGCAAACCCACAUAAAUGAUCAGAGACAAGGUGGGUUUGAGCCACUAAACUAAGUAUUUAUUACACUCCAAAGACAAUAUUCAUUUGACCAUAAAUAUAAAAAUAAGUGAAAAGCAGAACCAAUGUAAAAAGAGACAAAACAACCAACAAUACAAAACACAAAAGGAGAGGAGAAUUUCUAUUGUAAAGAUAUUAAAGUGGAAACUAUUUAAGUGGGUGCAAUGAUCAUCAUGGGUGGAUGUAUAACAAAAGACAAGGAAGUUAAAUGUACACAACAUGCACUUAUCAACAGAAAACCAAAUAACACACUAAAACCAUGCAAGGUUCCUAAUAAAAUGAGCCAGUUAUAUGUCACCACCUCUACAAAUAAUUUAAGCAACCACUAAGUUUCUAUAAACUAAACCAGAUUAUAAAAGUCACUAACCUUAAGCAAGACCUCCAAAAGAAAUGACCUCUCCUCAAUACAAACAUAAAACGAAAUCAUCACAAUACACAAACAGGCAAAGCUUCCAGUCCCGAUAAAUGUAAAUAAAUAAAACAUGUAAGCUAAAUGAGUAAGUGUAAACUCAAACUAGGCAAAACAGCAGCGGCGCUGUGCACUACACGAACAGAACAAAUACAAAAGUCAAGAUCUGUCCCGGCAUGGCAAAACAUACAGUAAAGGUGACAAUCAAACAAAGGAAGAGUACCUUGGCUGUCUCCUCCAGUGAAUCACACAGAGCGUCAACCUCGAACCAAGCAGCAGAACAGCACACAAUGCACACCAGGCAGCAACCACCGCAGAUUUGCGACCUACACCCUCCUGGUGGCAUACUGGGAUCUGAUUGAGGUCAGCAGACACCAAGUUAAGAGUCACCAGUGCAAACACGUCCAAGAUAAGUGUUCCUUGACCAAAAACAGUAAGUGACCACUCCAUUGAAUACAUUACUUUAUAUGGAAUAUUUAUCAUAAUGUUAUUUUUCCUUCUGUUUAAAUCUAUUA
ensembl:lncRNA